CGGCCUGAGGUCGGACGAGGCUACCCGCUGAAUUUAAGCAUAUUACUAAGCGGAGGAAAAGAAACUAACGAGGAUUCCCUCAGUAACGGCGAGUGAAGCGGGACGAGCCCAGCGCCGAAUCCGGCCGCUUAUGGAGCGGACGGAAUUGUGGCGUAUGGAAUUCGCUUCGAGCGCGGACCGGCUGCCCACGUCCUUCUGAUCGAGGCUUCAUCCCAUAGCGGGUGUCAGGCCCUUGGCGGCGGCUGGCCCGGGGACUCUCGGUGUCUU
rnacentral:ncRNA from 1 species